ACUCAAAUGAAUUGACGGGGAUCCGCACAAGCGGUGGAGUAUGUGGUUUAAUUCGAGGCUACGCGAAGAACCUUACCAACCUUUGCAUGGAGGCAGCUGCUCUUUGAAAGAAGAGCGUCAUUUAGUUGGGCCUCACACAGGUGCUGCAUGGCUGUCGUCAGUUCGUGUCGUGAGAUGUUGGGUUAAGUCCCGCAACGAACGCGACCCUCGUGACUAGUUGCCAGCAAGUUAAGUUGGGCACUUUAGUCAUACUGCCGGUGACAAACCGGAGGAAGGUGGGGAUGAUGUCAAGUCAUCAUGGCCCUUAUAGGUUGGGCUACACACGUACUACAAUGGCGGUGACAGAGGGAGGCAAAAUAGCAAUAUGGAGCAAAUCCCUAAAAACCGCCUCAGUUCGGAUUGUCCUCUGCAACUCGAGGGCAUGAAGUCGGAAUCGCUAGUAAUCGCAGAUCAGCAGGCUGCGGUGAAUACGUUCUCGGAUCUUGUACACACCGCCCGU
rnacentral:rRNA from 1 species